rnacentral:rRNA from 1 species
AUGGUCGGUGGGCCAUCAUCGCUGGCUGAGCUCGACGCCCUCACGGCCGACGACACCUUGUGCACCCUACUCUAUGACAUCAAGGUCCAGAAGGUGGCUGUGGGAAAGGAAACGAUCAUGAAGCCAAAGGACCGCAUGUUCCACAACCGAGAGAUGCCCGAUGGCGUCUUCAAGGUUAACGUGGCCAGUGUCUUAGCGGGGUUCGAGGAUUUGCCUCCUCCGGUACCAUUCGAUGACGACGAGACCCUUAAGAUGAUUGGCGCAUGCAUGAGCUGGUUCUUGUCUUGGCCCAAGUCUCUUCUUCGUCUCGAGGCUCCCAGUAUCAUGCCAAUGCCACCUUCUCAAGAAGGUAUGAACACCACCCCACCUACCACAUUACCUGCACCUGUCGUGGCGAGUGAUAGCAGACGACGCGAGGGAGAGCCUCCAUUAGUGCCAGAUGAUGUAGCCCCCGUUGUUAAAGAAUCAAAUGUUGAUGAUGACAUGGAGGAUGAUGAUGAUGACCCAGACAAGUAA